UGCUGCAUGGCUGUCGUCAGCUCGUGCCGUGAGGUGUGGUUAAGUCCCGCAACGACGCGCAACCCCUACUGCCAGUUACCAACACGUUAUGGUGGGGACUCUGGCGGAACUGCCGGCGACAAACCGGAGGAAGGUGGGGAUGACGUCAAGUCCUCAUGGCCCUUAUGUCCAGGGCUACACACGUGCUACAAUGGUCGGUACAGAGUGACGCGAAGCCGCGAGGUGAAGCAAAUCGCAGAAAGCCGGCCUUAGUUCGGAUUGGAGUCUGAAACCCGACUCCAUGAAGGUGGAAUCGCUAGUAAUCGCGAAUCAGAAUGUCGCGGUGAAUACGUUCUCGAGUCUU
rnacentral:rRNA from 1 species